rnacentral:rRNA from 1 species
CCUACGGGUGGCAGCAGUGAGGAAUAUUGGUCAAUGGGCGGAAGCCUGAACCAGCCAAGUAGCGUGCGGGAUGAAGGCCCUACGGGUCGUAAACCGCUUUUGCACGGGGAUAACACGUUCCACUUGUUGUGUUCUGCAUGUACCGUGCGAAUAAGGGCCGGCUAACUCCGUGCCAGCAGCCGCGGUAAUACGGAAGGCCCGAGCGUUAUCCGGAUUCAUUGGGCUUAAAGGGAGCGUAGGCGGGCGUUCAAGUCAGCUGUAAAAUUCCGCGGCUCAACCGCGCCCCGCAGUUGAAACUGGGGGACUGGAGUACACAACAGGCAGGCGGAAUUCGUGGUGUAGCGGUGAAAUGCAUAGAUAUCACGAGGAACCCCGAUUGCGAAGGCAGCCUGCCGGGGUGCGACUGACGCUGAGGCUCGAAGGUGCGGGUAUCAAACAGGAUUAGAUACCCGGGUAGUC